CCUACGGGGGGCUGCAGUAAGGAAUAUUGGUCAAUGGACGAAAGUCUGAACCAGCCAUCCCGCGUGCAGGAUGAAAGCCCUAUGGGUUGUAAACUGCUUUUAGCAGAGAAGAAAAGCUUUCAUUAAUGAGAGUCUGACGGUAUCUGCAGAAUAUGCACCGGCUAACUCCGUGCCAGCAGCCGCGGUAAUACGGAGGGUGCGAGCGUUAUCCGGAAUAACUGGGUCGAAAGGGUGCGUUGAAGGAGUAUUAGCAAUCUUGUCGCGUAACGAGAAAAUUGCCAAUGAUACUGGUACUCUUGAAUUGGGUUGAGGUUAGCGGAAUGUGACAUGUAGCGGUGAAAUGCAUAGAUAUGUCAUGGAACACGAAUUGCGAAGGCAGCUAACUGGGCCUUGAUUGACGCUGAGGCACGAAAGCGUGGGUAGCGAACAGGAUUAGAUACCCUUGUAGUC
rnacentral:rRNA from 1 species